rnacentral:rRNA from 1 species
AGAGCGAACGCUGGCGGCAGGCCUAACACAUGCAAGUCGAGCGCCCGUAGCAAUACGGGAGCGGCAGACGGGAUAGUAACACGUGGGAACGCGCCCUUCGGUUCGGAAUAACUCAGGGAAACUUGAGCUAAUACCGGAUACGCCCUUACGGGGAAAGAUUUAUUGCCGAAGGAACGGCCCGCGUCCGAUUAGCUAGUUGGUGAGGUAAUGGCUCACCAAGGCGACGAUCGGUAGCUGGUCUGAGAGGACGACCAGCCACACUGGGACUGAGACACGGCCCAGACUCCUACGGGAGGCAGCAGUGGGGAAUAUUGGACAAUGGGGGCAACCCUGAUCCAGCGACGCCGCGUGUGUGAAGAAGGCCUGCGGGUUGUAAAGCACUUUUAGUGGGGAUGAAAAGCUCAGGGUUAACACCUCGUGGGUCUUGACCUAACCCACAGAAAAAGCACCGGCUAACUCUGUGCCAGCAGCCGC